UACGAAGGGGGCUAGCGUUGCUCGGAAUCACUGGGCGUAAAGGGUGCGUAGGCGGGUCUUUAAGUCAGGGGUGAAAACCUGGAGCUCAACUCCAGAACUGCCUUUGAUACUGAGGAUCUUGAGUCCGGGAGAGGUGAGUGGAACUGCGAGUGUAGAGGUGAAAUUCGUAGAUAUUCGCAAGAACACCAGUGGCGAAGGCGGCUCACUGGCCCGGUACUGACGCUGAGGCACGAAAGCGUGGGGAGCAAACAGG
rnacentral:rRNA from 1 species